GACGGGGGAUGCGAGCGUUAUCCGGAAUGAUUGGGCGUAAAGGGUCCGCAGGUGGCCCGGUCAGUCCGCUGUCAAAGCCUGGGGCUCAACCCUGGAGAGGCGGCGGAGACCACCGGGCUUGAGUCCGGUAGGGGCAGAGGGAAUUCCCGGUGGAGCGGUGAAAUGCGUAGAGAUCGGGAAGAACACCGGUGGCGAAGGCGGUUAGCUGGGCAGUUGCUGACACUGAGGCGCGACAGCGUGGGGAGCAAACAGG
rnacentral:rRNA from 1 species